rnacentral:rRNA from 1 species
AUUGAACGCUGGCGGCAUGCCUUACACAUGCAAGUCGAACGGCAGCACGGGAGCAAUCCUGGUGGCGAGUGGCGAACGGGUGAGUAAUAUAUCGGAACGUGCCCGGUCGUGGGGAUAACGUAGCGAAAGCUACGCUAAUACCGCAUACGAUCUACGGAUGAAAGCGGGGGAUCGCAAGACCUCGCGCGAUUGGAGCGGCCGAUAUCAGAUUAGGUAGUUGGUGAGGUAAAGGCUCACCAAGCCGACGAUCUGUAGCUGGUCUGAGAGGACGACCAGCCACACUGGGACUGAGACACGGCCCAGACUCCUACGGGAGGCAGCAGUGGGGAAUAUUGGACAAUGGGC